rnacentral:rRNA from 1 species
UACGUAGGGAGCAAGCGUUGUCCGGAAUCAUUGGGCGUAAAGCGCGCGUAGGUGGCCAUGUAAGUCCGCUGUGAAAAGUCAAAGGCUCAACCUUUGAAAGCCGGUGGAUACUGCAUGGCUAGAGUACGGAAGAGGCGAGUGGAAUUCCUGGUGUAGCAGUGGAAUGCGCAGAUAUCAGGAGGAACACCAAUAGCGAAGCAGCUCGCUGGACGUCAGCUGACACUGGAGGCGCGAAAGCGUGGGGAGCGAACAGGA